CCUCUCUGUUGUGAUUCAUCCCCCCGGGGCCCUACAGUUUCUCCUUCCUGACUCUUACAUUUCUUUGGAUGGCAUCAUUAUUUACCUGUCUCCUCCCAUAGUUAGGUGCCAAGCACUGUGGAUUCUGCCUCUCAGUGUCCAGACACCCAUUUUCCUUCCCACUGUUCCUUCCCCAUGGAGAAGCCUGUGGCUGGCUGACAGCAGAGAGAGAUGCUCAACUUGGAGAAGGUGUUACCUGGGCCAGGUGGGGAAGGUUUGUUUGCAGAGCAAAGAAGUGAAGCCUAUUCAACGUGAAAAAGAUGAGGAUGAAGACCUUUAUUAUGAUCCACUUCCAAGUAAUGAACACACUGGAGAAAGUCAGACAGUCAAAACAAUGUCCCAGACUCCGUGAAGUUCCUGGGUAGAGAAGGAGACAGACAUAUACCAUACCUAAUAAUUGGAUGUCCGAGAGAAUGAGAGAAUGGCAGAAAGAACUUUAGAGCAUGGGUAUGAUGGCUAGAGCUUGAGCAGCCAUUGUGGACAUCAGAUGAACUUGAAAGUGAAAACUAUGAGCUGAAUACGACAAAGCAAACAGAUAGAAAACUGGAUUCAUUAUGACAUUGCAAAGCUGCCAGACCAGCUCUAGUCUGCUUCCCCCUAAUCUUCCUUACUAAGAGAGAGAAAUAAACUUCCAUCUUCUUCAAGCCACUGCUGGUGCAUCUGACUACUUACUAGAUGGUUGCAUUUUGAUUUCCCAGAGACAUCUUAAGGUCAACAUGUUCAAAACCAAACAUCUUCCUUUCUUAAGGCUGCAUCCCACCCGGUUGUUGAAGUCAGAAACCUGGAUUCUACAUUCUCCCUUAACCCCAUAUCCAAUUAAAGCAGGCAGAAUAAUGGCUCCCUC
rnacentral:lncRNA from 1 species